ACCAAACUUCCUUUGGUGCGGACUCGAAUGUCAAACUGAGAUGAACAACCCUGUAUAGGGGAUUAUUUACGCUUUAGCGUUAAGAUAUUGUGCACAGUAUGGUACUAAGGGCUGAUCCCCCUAAGUACGAGAAGAAGAGUCCAUAGUCUUAUGACUGUUAAAGGUUUCAAGUAAAAACACUUGACAACCUAGGACAUAGUUCAAGGUCUUAUGACCCUCAGAAUUUCUUUUGAUUCUUGUUAUUCAUUCUUGAUUCAAAAGUUGAACUUUAUAUCAGAAGUUAUUAUUUCUCUCGCAUGUUAUUAUUCAUUGUUAUAUUGUUAUACUUGUGGGCAAUCGUGCUCACUCUUGCGUAAUAAUAACAUUGCAGUUAAGAACGAAAGAGCAGACGAACCUUCCACUAGUAAGGGCAAGGGCAAGCUUAGCAAGUAAUGAAGACUGUUUUAUUAAUGUAGUUAUGCGAUGUAAUUAGAGUUGAUGUUACUAAGACUUAUUUGUUUAUGUUUUCCGCGCAAAUGUUUUAAGGUUAGAGUAACCUGGGAUUUAUUUAUUAUU
rnacentral:lncRNA from 1 species